UAAGGACGCUUCUACCCCUCUGUUAUCUUUCUUCCCUCGUUAUCCGAUACCCAUUCUUUCAAACGUAACCUAAAAAAAAAAGCGCAGACACAAAAAUCGCCGCCUCCUCCAUCGACAGCUAACCGCCAUCUCACUCGUCGCUGCCGUCUCGCCACCAUCUCGCCGGCUAAAGAGAACUCGCCAUCUCCGAGCAAUUUCUCUCGCUUUCCCUGUCAUUCAAGAUCACUGUAAUUCAUCAAAAACGGGUAAGCUAAUCUUCUCCUGUUAUGUUAAUACUAUUUGAAAUCAGAAUCGCUUAUGCUAUCAUGUUAUGCAAUCUGAUGUAUAAUGUAUAAAAUCAGAAUCCGAUUUGCUCUAAUAAAUCUGAAAUUUUAAUUACCUGUAUCAAAUUGAAGCUUUCCCUUUCUUCUUAAUAAUUUUUGAAAUCGGUUAUGCUUGAGAGCUAGACUUUUAUUUCUUGUUUGCCAUUGUUGUUCACAAAGUUGUAGCUUUCCCUGUAUCAAAUUCCAUAGAAACAACAGGAAGAAUAAUAAUUGGUUUUGAAAUAAAAAAUUGAUUUGAUUUGAGUUGUUGCCCUUUUCUUGUGUGUCAUAUUUGUUUUGAUUUGUUUUGAGUUGUUUCCCUGUAUCAAAUUGCAUAGAAGCAAGUCACAACAGGAAGCUUUCCCUUUCUUCCUAAUAUUUUUUGAGGUUAAUGUUUUAGGAUUUGAUUUGUUUUGAGUUGUUGCCCUUUUUGUGAAAUCAGAAAUCAAAAAUUAGUUUUGAAAUAAAAAAUUGUUCUUUUCCUAAUUUAAGCCCUGUUUUGCACAGCAACAGAAACUAUAAUUAUUGGAGAAUAAUAAUUUUCUUAUGCAAAGCCCUUCAAAUCUUCUUUCUCCAUACAUGAUUUCACCUAACACCCAAAAUCUCUUCAAUAGGCUAUUUGACUAGUUAAGAUUCACACUUUCAAACUCAAAUUCAAAACAAAUACGUUGUAUCAUUUUAUGUGAUGACAUUAAUUUGGAUUAUGUGAGUUUAAGCAGUUAAAACACUAACCUUAAUGAUGAGUUACAAAUUAUGAGAUACAUAAAGUAAAUAUUUUAUGUAGGAGAUCAUUUUUGUGACGAAGUCGUUUUUUUUUUCUAUAUGGAUACACCAUUACCUCCCUACUCCAUUAUGAUGGAAUUUCCGAGGUAUGAUGUUGUUGUUGUUUAUCAAGUAAAUAUUUUUUUUUUCCAAAACAAUAAUUCUUAAAAAUGUAUACUUUUAUUGUAUAGGCUAUUAUGGAUUAGUCGAUGAUAAUCCAGGGAAAGAGUAUAAAUGUGGAAAUUUAGAGGGUCAUUUUCCAUUUAAUAUUUAUAUGGUUAGUUGGGACAGUUGGAAGUUUGGAUGUACUUGUUUUUAUAAUUAUUCAACAAUUUAAUCCAUCACUAUAUAUAACAGCAGGGUAAAAUGGUCAUUUUUCAUCACUCAGCACAUUCAGUCAGAUGUACAAUCAAACAACAAGAUUUCUUACUCAGUCAGGAUUUUUUAUCCAGACAGACCUUUCCCAGUCAGAACUUUCUCAGUCAGCAACUAUCAAACGGGGCCUAAGUGUGUUUGUUUAUCUCUUAUUUUUGCAUCUCGAUCAGACUCUAGGCCACAUCUGAAACCACAUCUGAAAGAAAAAAAAAGACACGUUUCCCUUUAUGCCCAACCCUACCCAAGAAUUCCGCCUCUAUUCAUUCUUCCUCCCUCUUCUUUCCUCUACACUCUUUGACGUCUCCAUGCCAACCCUCUCGGUCGAACUCGUCGUACACCGCCGACACGAGACCUCCGACGCCACCGUCCUAGACCCCCGGUCUGACAGCAAGGCAUCAGGUUUAGCUUUCGUUCUUCUCCAAUCCCUGAGGUUGCGUUUAGUUACGGAAAAACAAUUUUCAUUUUCCGUUUUUUGUUUUCCCUUUUCGAUUUUCAUUUUCCGUUUUCAUUUUUCAUUGAAAAUUUUUGAAAACGCGUUUAGUUAAACUUAUUCAUUUUUCAUUUUCAGUUUUAGAAAAUUAAAAAACGUGUUUAGAUGUGUAUUUUUCUAUCGGUUUUCAUUUUUAGAAAACGGUAGCGGUGGUAGGGUGUGGGUGGGGGCGGUGACGGUAGCGGGUCGGUGGCGGUGGUGGUGAUGACAGGCGAUGGUGGUGGCGGCGGCAAUUGUGUCAGUGGUAGUGGUGGUGAUGGCGGUGGCAGCGGUGGCGGUGGUGCUAGUGACGGGUUAGUGGUGGUGAUGGUGAUGGUAGGUCGGUAAUUGUGGUGGUGGUGUUGGGUGGGUGGGGGUGGAGUGUGUGAAUGAGUGUGUUUGUGGGGGUAGGUGUGUGUUUGUGUGUGUGUGGGUAUGUGUGUCUGUGAGGGUGGGGGUAGGUGUGAGUUUGUGUGUGUGUGGGUGUGUGUUUGUGGGGGUGUGGGUAUGUAUGUGUGUGUUUG
rnacentral:lncRNA from 1 species